rnacentral:rRNA from 1 species
AUGCCGCGUGUGUGAUGAAGGUCUUAGGAUCGUAAAGCACUUUCGCCAGGGAUGAUAAUGACAGUACCUGGUAAAGAAACCCCGGCUAACUCCGUGCCAGCAGCCGCGGUAAUACGGAGGGGGUUAGCGUUGUUCGGAAUUACUGGGCGUAAAGCGUACGUAGGCGGAUUGGAAAGUUGGGGGUGAAAUCCCAGGGCUCAACCCUGGAACUGCCUCCAAAACUAUCAGUCUAGAGUUCGAGAGAGGUGAGUGGAAUUCCAAGUGUAGAGGUGAAAUUCGUAGAUAUUUGGAGGAACACCAGUGGCGAAGGCGGCUCACUGGCUCGAUACUGACGCUGAGGUACGAAAGUGUGGGGAGCAAACAGGAUUAGAUACCCUGGUAGUCCACACCGUAAACGAUGAAUGCCAGUCGUCGGGCAGUAUACUGUUCGGUGACACACCUAACGGAUUAAGCAUUCCGCCUGGGGAGUACGGUCGCAAGAUUAAAACUCAAG